rnacentral:rRNA from 1 species
GAUGAACGCUGGCGGCGUGCUUAAUACAUGCAAGUCGAACGGAAAGGCCCUGCGUUUGUGGGGUGCUCGAUUGGCGAACGGGUGAGUAACACGUGAGUAACCUGUCCUUGUCUUUGGGAUAACUCCAGGGAACUGGGGCUAAUACCGGAUAGGAUCUCCUGCUGCAUGGUGGGGGUUGGAAAGUGUCGGCGGUUGGGGAUGGACUCGCGGCUUAUGCGCUUGUUAGUGGGGUAGUGGCUUACCAAGGCUUUGACGGGUAGCCCGCCUGAGAGGGUUGACGGCCACCAGGGGACUAAGGUACGGAGCAGUAUGCAACGGGAGGCAGCAGGGGGGAACAUGGCAGAGUGGGGGGGCGCGAGAGGUGAAAACCCCGCGAGCGGGAUGACGGCCUUCGAGGUGUAAACCGCUGUCGAAUGUGACGAAGCGUGAGUGACGGUAAUGGGUAAAAAAGCCCCGGCUAACUACGUG